AGCAGAGGUGAUUUCCAGGCAUGUUUUCACUCUGCAGAUAUAAUAACAGUCAACAGACUCUUCUAUUGGCUCCAGUCAGACCAACAUUGAUGCUUCAUAUGUUUGAUUCUAUGCAAACUCAGUGAGCUUCCUUGUUACUCAGCUAUAAAAACUUCCCAUCAGGCUGUCAGUGGAGUUCACAGCACGUCAGUUUCAACAUCAACCAUGUUUUCUGCAGCUCUGCUGCUGCUGUUGGCAGCUGGAUGUGUGAAGUGUGAACAGUUGACACAGCCAGCCUCUGUGACCGUGCAGCCAGGUCAACGUCUGACCAUCACCUGUCAGGUCUCUUAUUCUUUGGGCAGCUACUACACAGCUUGGAUCAGACAGCCUGCAGGGAAAGGACUGGAGUGGAUUGGGAUGAAAAGUACUGGAUACUCAUACUACAAAGAUUCCCUGAAGAAUAAGUUCAGUAUCGAUUUAGACUCUUCCAGCAACACAGUGACUCUAAAUGGACAGAAUGUGCAGUCUGAAGACACUGCUGUGUAUUACUGUGCCAGAGGAGACACAGUGAGAGACAAUAAUAGGAGAGUCAUACAAAAACUUCUUCCUCUAUUUACCACCACUGGAAACAUUCUCAACAUUGUCUCAGUAUCACAAGGUGACUGUAAUUCAUGAAAGUUCAGAGUUGUGACUAAAUAUUUAAUUCUUGUUUUAUCUAAACUGAAAUGUAAAAUAUUAAUAAUAAUUAAAUUGCAAUUUUGUCACACAAAAAGUCAUGAAAAGAAUCUUGUCUGAGUGUCCAAGAUCGC